rnacentral:rRNA from 1 species
GGUAAUGGCUUACCAAGCCGGUGAUCGGUACGGGUUGUGAGAGCAAGAGCCCGGAGAUGGAACUGAGACAAGGUUCCAGGCCCUACGGGGUGCAGCAGGCGCGAAACCUCCGCAAUGUGAGAAAUCGCGACGGGGGGAUCCCAAGUGCCAUUCUUAACGGGAUGGCUUUUCAUUAGUGUAAAGAGCUUUUGGAAUAAGAGCUGGGCAAGACCGGUGCCAGCCGCCGCGGUAACACCGGCAGCUCUAGUGGUAACAAUUUUUAUUGGGCCUAAAGCGUCCGUAGCCGGUUUAAUAAGUCUCUGGUGAAAUCCUGUAGCUUAACUGUGGGAAUUGCUGGAGAUACUAUUAGACUUGAGACCGGGAGAGGUUAGAGGUACUCCCAGGGUAGAGGUGAAAUUCUGUAAUCCUGGGAGGACCGCCUGUUGCGAAGGCGUCUAACUGGAACGGUUCUGACGGUGAGGGACGAAAGUUAGGGGCGCGAACCGGAUUAGAUACCCGGGUAGUCCUAACUGUAAACGAUGCGGACUUGGUGUUGGGGUGGCUUUGAGCUGCUCCAGUGCCGAAGGGAAGCUGUUAAGUCCGCCGCCUGGGAAGUACGGUCGCAAGACUGAAACUUAA